rnacentral:rRNA from 1 species
AGAGUUUGAUCAUGGCUCAGGACGAACGCUGGCGGCGUGCUUAACACAUGCAAGUCGCGCGAUUCUCGAAGUUCGGGGUUGGGAGUUCGAACCUCGAACUUCGAACCUCGAACUUCGAGAAUAGCGGCGGACGGGUGAGUAACACGUGGAUAACCUACCCAUUAGACCAGGAUAACACCGGGAAACUGGUGCUAAUACCGGAUAAGCUCUUUAGAGUAAAAGCCUUAAAGAGGAAAGGGGAAACUCACUAAUGGAUGGGUCCGCGUCCUAUUAGCUAGUUGGUAGGGUAACGGCCUACCAAGGCGACGAUGGGUAGCCGGCCUGAGAGGGUGACCGGCCACACUGGGACUGAGACACGGCCCAGACUCCUACGGGAGGCAGCAGUGGGGAAUAUUCCGCAAUGGGGGAAACCCUGACGGAGCAAUGCCGCGUGAGUGAAGAAGGCCUUUGGGUCGUAAAACUCUGUCUUGAGGGACGAAAAAAAUGACGGUACCUCAAAAGAAAGCCCCGGCUAACUACGUGCCAGCGGCCGCGGUA